rnacentral:rRNA from 1 species
UACGUAGGGGGCAAGCGUUGUCCGGAUUCAUUGGGCGUAAAGAGCGUGUAGGCGGCCAGGUAGGUCGGUUGUGAAAACUGGAGGCUCAACCUUCAGAGGUCGACCGAAACCAUCUGGCUAGAGUCCGGGAGAGGAGAGUGGAAUUCCUGGUGUAGCGGUGAAAUGCGCAGAUAUCAAGAGGAACACCUGCGGCGAAGGCGGGUUGCUGGGCUGACACUGACGCUGAGGCGCGAAAGCUAGGGGAGCGAACGGG